CCGACCUUAGCUCAGUUGGCAGAGCGGAGGACUGUAGAUCCUUAGGUCGCUGGUUCGAAUCCGGCAGGUCGGA